rnacentral:rRNA from 1 species
CACGUAGGGCGCGAGCGUUGUCCGGAAUUAUUGGGCGUAAAGAGCUCGUAGGCGGCCUGUUGCGUCCGCUGUGAAAGCCCGGGGCUUAACCCCCGGGUCGGCAGUGGAUACGGGCAGGCUAGAGGUAGGUAGGGGAGAAUGGAAUUCCCGGUGUAGCGGUGAAAUGCGCAGAUAUCGGGAGGAACACCGGUGGCGAAGGCGGCUUGCUGGGCCAGUUCUGACGCUGAUGCGCGAAAGCUAGGGGAGCAAACGGG